UACGAAGGGGGCUAGCGUUGCUCGGAAUCACUGGGCGUAAAGCGCACGUAGGCGGACUCUUAAGUCGGGGGUGAAAUCCUGGAGCUCAACUCCAGAACUGCCUUCGAUACUGAAGAGCUCGAGUCCGGGAGAGGUGAGUGGAACUGCGAGUGUAGAGGUGAAAUUCGUAGAUAUUCGCAAGAACACCAGUGGCGAAGGCGGCUCACUGGCCCGGUACUGACGCUGAGGUGCGAAAGCGUGGGAGCAACAGGGAUAAGA
rnacentral:rRNA from 1 species